UCUCCGUAGGUGAACCUGCGGAGGGAUCAUUACAGAGUUCUCGCCCUCGCGGGUAGAUCUCCCACCCACUGUUAUCGUUACUGUGUUGCUUUGGCGGGCCGUCGGGCCCCGCUCGGCCGCCGGCUCCGGCUGGCGCGCGCCCGCCAGAGGCCCAGCAGACUCUGAAUGUUAGUGUCGUCUGAGUACUAUAUAAUAGUUAAAACUUUCAACAACGGAUCUCUUGGUUCUG
rnacentral:misc_RNA from 1 species